UACGGGGGGGGCAAGCGUUGUUCGGAAUUACUGGGCGUAAAGGGCUUGUAGGCGGCCAACUAAGUCCGACGUGAAAUCCCCAGGCUUAACCUGGGAACUGCGUCGGAUACUGGAUGGCUUGAAUUCGGGAGAGGGAUGCAGAAUUCCCGGUGUAGCGGUGAAAUGCGUAGAUAUCAGGAGGAACACCUGUGGCGAAAGCGGCUCACUGGACCAUAACUGACGCUGAUGCACGAAAGCUAGGGGAGCAAACAGG
rnacentral:rRNA from 1 species